AGGACAGACAUUAGAAGUUAUUUCGCUACGACGGCUGUGAGUACAGUGAGAGGACCCAUAAGUUAGAUAUCUAUCACGCAACGCAUUUGUUGUAAAGUCCGGUGUUUAGUAAGGUCAGCACUGAAUGGGUGGUAGAAUAGGUCUGUUAAUUAUGUGUCCUCUCACUGUACUGACAGCC